rnacentral:tRNA from 1 species
GUCGAUAGGCGCAGUGGCAGCGCGCAAGAGUCUUGCUCUUGAGGUCAAAGGUUCGAAUCCUAUAUCGACG